GAUGAACGCUGGCGGCGUGCUUAACACAUGCAAGUCGAACGGUGAACGAGGGAGCUUGCUCCCUCCGGAUCAGUGGCGAACGGGUGAGUAACACGUGAGCAAUCUGCCCUGGACUCUGGGAUAAGCGUUGGAAACGACGUCUAAUACCGGAUACGAGACGUGAAGGCAUCUUCAACGUCUGGAAAGAACUUCGGUCCAGGAUGAGCUCGCGGCCUAUCAGGUAGUUGGUGAGGUAAUGGCUCACCAAGCCUACGACGGGUAGCCGGCCUGAGAGGGUGACCGGCCACACUGGGACUGAGACACGGCCCAGACUCCUACGGGAGGCAGCAGUGGGGAAUAUUGCACAAUGGGCGCAAGCCUGAUGCAGCAACGCCGCGUGAGGGACGACGGCCUUCGGGUUGUAAACCUCUUUUAGCAGGGAAGAAGCGAAAGUGACGGUACCUGCAGAAAAAGCACCGGCUAACUACGUGCCAGCAGCCGCCGUAAAAC
rnacentral:rRNA from 1 species